CGGACGGGUGAGUAAUGUCUGGGAAACUGCCCGAUGGAGGGGGGUAACUACUGGAAACGGUAGCUAAUACCGCAUAACGUCGCAAGACCAAAGAGGGGGACCUUCGGGCCUCUUGCCAUCGGAUGUGCCCAGAUGGGAUUAGCUAGUAGGUGGGGUAACGGCUCACCUAGGCGACGAUCCCUAGCUGGUCUGAGAGGAUGACCAGCCACACUGGGACUGAGACACGGCCAG
rnacentral:rRNA from 1 species